rnacentral:rRNA from 1 species
UACGUAGGGUGCGAGCGUUGUCCGGAUUUAUUGGGCGUAAAGAGCUCGUAGGCGGUUUGUCGCGUCGGCCGUGAAAUCUCCACGCUUAACGUGGAGCGUGCGGUCGAUACGGGCAGACUUGAGUUCGGUAGGGGAGACUGGAAUUCCUGGUGUAGCGGUGAAAUGCGCAGAUAAUCAGGAGGAACACCGGUGGCGAAGGCGGGUCUCUGGGCCGAUACUGACGCUGAGGAGCGAAAGCGUGGGGAGCGAACAGG